rnacentral:misc_RNA from 1 species
GAUGAAGAACGUAGCGAAAUGCGAUAAGUAAUGUGAAUUGCAGAAUUCAGUGAAUCAUCGAAUCUUUGAACGCACAUUGCGCCCGCUAGUAUUCUGGCGGGCAUGCCUGUCCGAGCGUCAUUUCAACCCUCAAGCCCCCGGGCUUGGUGUUGGGGAUCGGCGAGCCUCCGCGCCCGCCGUCCCCUAAAUCUAGUGGCGGUCUCGCUGUAGCUUCCUCUGCGUAGUAGCACACCUCGCACUGGGAAGCAGCGCGGCCACGCCGUUAAACCCCCAACUUCUGAACGUUUGACCUCGGAUCAGGUAGGAAUACCCGCUGAACUUAAGCAUAUCAAUAAGCGGAGGA